GCUGUUUUCCUGGCAUUGUGCAGAGUGAGGACAAACAUCUCAGGAAACCUGUUUUCUUUCAGCUGGAGCAGCUGAAGCUGCCACAUAGUCACUCUGAGGACAGGCCCAGCAGAGUGAGGAGGCUCAAAGAAUGAGGAGCAGCACAUGGAGAAAGAGAAGCUGCCCAGAGAGGCUGAGGAAGAACACCAGAAGAGUCUGAGAAUGUUGGAGGAGUCUGAGGAAAAACAUCAUCAAAGGAGGAGAAAGUUGAGGAGGAGGCAGAGGCCAAGGAGGAGGAGAAGGAAGAUAUGGUGUUGAUGCUGAUGGGGGAGGUGGUGGUGGAAAAGAAUUCAGUGGAGCAGGGGGUGGAGGAGGAGAAAAUAUUGGAAGAGGAUGAGGUGGAAGAGGAAGUGGUGAUGCGGAUGAACAUGGAGAAAGAGGAGGAAAAAGAGGAGGAGGAUGAACAACAGGAGGAGGAGCAGGAGAAGGAGGUCGAGAAGAAGGAGGAAGAACGCACAGACACCAAGAAGCUGGAGCAUCCCGAGCAGCUGAAGGAGUCUGUUGAGACCCAGGACCCGUGCACAGAGGUGCAGCAGUGUCCUUCUGAGGAUGGGGAGCCCUGCAGGCAGGUGGACAAUGACAACCUCGAAUCGCCUCAGUUUCUGCAGAAAGAAGAGCCCCCAUUGCGUGUCUUUCACGUCCAGGUGGAGGUAGAUGAACCUCUGGAUGAAGUUGCAGUGACUGUGAAUUUGACGCUUGCCACAUGUCCCCCUCAGCCAGUGCUCACUAGCAGAAAACAGAAGGCAGCAUAAGAUGCCCUUUUCCCUUCCGUAAGGGAAAUGUUUAGGAAGCUGAGAAGAUCUGCCCGAGUCCUCAAUGAAGCAGUCACGAUAACAGCAGUAUCCUGGCACCUGUCACAUGCCUAGCAAUCUGCCUAGGGAAAGACUCCUCUGCAGGAAGACAUUAGCAUCCCCCCUAAACCUGUGCCCUGCUGGGAGCCAGGAAGGAGGGCCAGAUGCACCAAGAUGUCUGCCUCCUGCACCUGCCUCUCUCUCCACCCGACUGGCAAGGCCACACAGUGCAGAUGAGCACAGAGGUACAGCUGGAGUCCGUGACUGAAGUGAGCCCCCUCAGGGUCCUGCUGGAUCUCCUGAUGCUAGAUUCACACAGCCUUAGGGAUGGCGGAAUAAGGAUGCAUCUGAUGGAGUAAAAGGCACUGGGACCAUCUAAACUCUCAAAUGGCAAAGAGUUUUAAACUUGAGCCUUAAACUAUCUUAGCUUUCUGAAUAAAAAGACCCUACUGCACACAAUUUCUGUGUGCUGUGAAAUGACAAAAGGAAUGACUAGCUUAAUUGGAACCACCAGAUAAUUUCUGCUCAGAAGCAUAUUUCAUUUCAGAUCUGUGUGACUGCUGGUUUAAACAGAAAAUUCACAUUGUGGUUUGAAAUCACUCUA